CUACUGAAAUGACUCAAUAAUAACAAUAAUAGUCAUCUAUUUGAGGGAUAUAAUAUGAUGUAAUAGAAAGAACAUUACUUUAGAAUUAAGAAGACUUGGGAUCAUAAGCUUAAUUUCAGUACCUUUUAGCUGUGUCAUUGGACAAAUUACUUGUAUGAAACUCAGUUUACUUCUCUGUAAAAUUAAUAUAAUAAUGCUUGCUUCAAAAGUUUGAAAGGGAAGCUCUUUAUAAAACUUGUGCUGUUUUUAAUAAAUGGCAAUAUCCUUAAUACUUAAUUUAUAACAAGAAGUAAAUAUCAUUACCUUUCAGGAAUUAAGCUAUUUUUCUUACUGAAGUACUUAAACAUUGGCUAGAGACUGCCUGGGGUGGAUGAGUACAUGGAAAGGGGGAAGGAAAUAUAUAGAAUCAUAAAGAAUUAUGAGAUUUAGAACUAGAAGGUACCUUAGAGAUCAUUUAAUCUAUCCCCUUUCUAUUUGACAGAUGAGAAAACUAAAUCUCAGGGGAAGAAGUGACUUUCCUGCACUGUGUCAAACUUCAAGAAGAGACAUGUUGGGAACCAAAACAAUGUUCUUCUUCCAUAAAUGAGGCCUGGACCUUGCACAGCAAUUUAUUGGUAAGGGUCUUCCAAAGCUUGGUAAAUAUCUUUCCAUUAAUAUAUCUUUGUUUGUACAUUGUCUACCUUUUGAAGAGCUCAAUCCUUUUUCUUCCAGUUUCAGAUUCUUCUUUGUCCUGAGGUAGACAAAAAGACAGUUCAUUUUAUCCAUCUUAAUAACAGAAACCUGUUAGCUCAAUUCAAAUUUCUAGCAUUUUAGCUAUGUGACCCUAGAAAUAUCAUUUAACUUCUCUGAGCUUCAGAUUCCUUAUCUGUAAAAUGGGCAAAAUAUUAACAUCUGUACCUAACUCAGUGGGUUAUUGUGAGGACUAAAUGAGUUACUGUGAAUAAUAGUUAUUUUUAUGUGGAACCUAAGAGAAUCAAGGUGUUUGGAGAAGGUGAUUUUUUAGUUCUCUUGUCAGUUUUUCAUUCCAACAUUUGCUCAGUGAUUUGGGCUCAAGAUUGAAGUGGGCAAUGGAGCAUAGUGACUUCUUGCCCAGGAAACUCAGCCAAAAGGUCUGAUAACAUGUGAGUUUCCCAGAUUGCUUAUGGAAGUUAUCCCAUCUCAUUCCUACCUCAUUGCAUUUGUUUUCUUGUCCACAAUACCUAGUGCCCUUAUCUUUGUUGUUGUUUGGUUAUUCAUUGUACCCAGCUCU
rnacentral:lncRNA from 1 species